AAAUAUAGAUGACAAGGAGCAUAAAAGGUUGCAAGGAAUAUCAUUUUAAAAUGUUUUGCAGGAUCUGAUUGUAUAUUAACAAGUUUAUCAGAGCAUAAUUGUAACCCUACUCUUUAUCUAGCCUAGAAAAAAAUUCAGUUCUUGCAAGCAUGAAGAAGCAGAUUUAUUUAAUUACAUAAUAUGUAUUAAUAACUCUGUGGAUUAACCAACUGUCGUACAGACAGAAUUUUACUAUCAACAAAAUUGACUCUUUCUUCUUCUAAAUCAUAUUUGAUUCCAAUAAGGUAAGAUCAACUCUGAUACAGCCUUAAAACCUACGUUAUUUCAAUCAUAACAGUAUGCAAAGUGAAGAAGUGUACAAGUAAACAAAAAUGUUGGAAUGUAUAUUUGAAAGCCCUCAUGAUAAAUCGGACUAAAUUCCCGAAAAUAUUAUAUUAUUGCCCGGAAAAUGGUUAUUUCGAACGAAUACCGUAACAUGUGGUAUUUUUGGAGCGUUGCUACAUCGACGUUUACCGACACCGACCAUAGAACACUUUUUCGGAUAUCGGCAAUAGUAAAAGAAAUUAAGGGAUGGCCGUUCCGUUUGUAUCGUGUUUAUGGUGAUUUCGUAUGGAAUAUAAUUUGAGCACACAGGAAUUUCGACGGUGAGAUAAACGGAAUAAACGUGGAAAAGGGAUGUUGGAUAUCGCAGACAAGGCACCCGUGCACUCUCCUCGCUACCGAAAUACGCACCCACAGGCACUUUCGUAUGCACACUUUACGUUUUACAUAA